GAUGAACGCUGGCGGCGUGCCUAAUACAUGCCAGUCGAGCGAACAGACGAGGAGCUUGCUCCUCUGACGUUAGCGGCGGACGGGUGAGUAACACGUGGAUAACCUACCUAUAAGACUGGGAUAACUUCGGGAAACCGGAGCUAAUACCGGAUAAUAUAUUGAACCGCAUGGUUCAAUAGUGAAAGACGGUUUUGCUGUCACUUAUAGAUGGAUCCGCGCCGCAUUAGCUAGUUGGUAAGGUAACGGCUUACCAAGGCAACGAUGCGUAGCCGACCUGAGAGGGUGACAGGCAAACGGGGAACGGGAACACGGCCCAGCCCCCGAGGGGAGGCAGAAGGAGGGAUUUUUCGGCAAGGGGAGAAGGCCGGACGGGGCAACGCGGCGGGAUGGAGGAAGGUCUGCGGAUCAUAAAACUUUUUUAUGGGGAAAAAAAAAAUGGGAAAGUAAUGAUCCCCGUCUUGAGGUUCCAAAUCAAAAAAGCCCCGCCAACCUACGU
rnacentral:rRNA from 1 species